AUUGAACGCUGGCGGCAUGCCUUACACAUGCAAGUCGAGCGAAUGGAUUAAGAGCUUGCUCUUAUGAAGUUAGCGGCGGACGGGUGAGUAACACGUGGGUAACCUGCCCAUAAGACUGGGAUAACUCCGGGAAACCGGGGCUAAUACCGGCUAACAUUUUGAACCGCAUGGUUCGAAAUUGAAAGGCGGCUUCGGCUGUCACUUAUGGAUGGACCCGCGUCGCAUCAGCUAGUUGGUGAGGUAACGGCUCACCAAGGCAACGAUGCGUAGCCGACCUGAGAGGGUGAUCGGCCACACUGGGACUGAGACACGGCCCAGACUCCUACGGGAGGCAGCAGUAGGGAAUCUUCCGCAAUGGACGAAAGUCUGACGGAGCAACGCCGCGUGAGUGAUGAAGGCUUUCGGGUCGUAAAACUCUGUUGUUAGGGAAGAACAAGUGCUAGUUGAAUAAGCUGGCACCUUGACGGUACCUAACCAGAAAGCCACGGCUAACUACGUGCCAGCCGCCGCGGUAA
rnacentral:rRNA from 1 species